CCAUUUAAAGUGGUACGCGAGCUGGGUUUAGAACGUCGUGAGACAGUUCGGUCCCUAUCUGCCGUGGGCGCUGGAGAACUGAGGGGGGCUGCUCCUAGUACGAGAGGACCGGAGUGGACGCAUCACUGGUGUUCGGGUUGUCAUGCCAAUGGCACUGCCCGGUAGCUAAAUGCGGAAGAGAUAAGUGCUGAAAGCAUCUAAGCACGAAACUUGCCCCGAGAUGAGUUCUCCCUGACUCCUUGAGAGUCCUGAAGGAACGUUGAAGACGACGACGUUGAUAGGCCGGGUGUGUAAGCGCAGCGAUGCGUUGAGCUAACCGGUACUAAUGAACCGUGAGGCUUAACCUUACAACGCCGAAGCUGUU
rnacentral:rRNA from 1 species